UGACAGUGAAACUCUGCAGGAGGCGUUAAUAUUGCCUAUAUCUAUUGUUGCAUUCUUUUAUAGAGUGUAGCGAUGACACCAUGAGAGAAGAGUAGGCUUUGAGCAAGAUUAAAAUCGGGUACAUUUAAGGGUGAAUUUAAUGCCCAAGGUGUAUAAGGUGUAUGAUGUGGCAUUGAUAUCUAUAAUGUAGAAUGUGAUUGGUCCACUAAUAUCGAUUUUCUUAGUAAGGUUAUUUUGCUUGUAUAAAAAGAAAAGGAAUUCACAAUUUGUAGAAGGUGUUUGAUAUUACGAUUACUAGGCUACACAGAGGCAAAUGAAGGUGCAAGAAUGAUUGGACAAAGGCUUUUGAAAGCUACAUAUUCAAUUUGUUGUUAAGAGAUUCAAACCUUUUUUUGGGUAGUGUGAAGAUGUUAAGAGGCUCUAUAAAGGCAUGAGGAAAACUAUUUGUGAGGUACAAUUCACAAGAAAUAGCCAUUUUUAUGUUAAAUCACAUUUUAUUUCAUUUUGGCCAUCAUUUUGUCAAGCACAAAAAUUUAAUGGACGUUUGUUAGGAACAACUUUUUUUUAAAUGUGAGGAUUCACUAAGGGAAGAAGAAGAUAGCAACAUAGGAAGGUGUAAGGAUUUCAACGGAAUGAGCAUGUAUAGGAGUGCACAAGCAACAUUUGUCUAAAGGGGUCACAUCAAAGGUUGGAGGAAAUGGAGGCAGGAGGACAUCUAUCAUCCUGAGAUAGCUUCUUGCUAAAGUAUGAUUCACUAAAUGAGAAGAAUCCUUUCACAUUUGUGUAACUAAACAAAAGAGGGGGCUUGGCAUGAUGCAUGUCCCUUCAAAGAGCAAGGGGGGCUACAUUUCUUGUGUUUGCACUUGGUGUAGUCAUGUUUGGUUGGUGAUUUGUGUAUCAGAGGAUGGAUGGUUUCCACAACACUGGAGGAGGUAUUAUAUGCACUUGAAGGAGAUGUAGACUUCAAGAGGAAAGGUGUCUUAUUUGGAACACUAGAGGAGGCAUUAGACAUACUCGAAGGAGAUGUAGAGUUUUAGAGGAAAGAUGUCUCAUUGUGCUUGGAGGUUGUGAACACUUUAUGUUCUCUCAUGUAGUGUAGAUGGUUGCAAGUUCUAUAGUGAGGAGAUCCAUUGAUGUAAUCAAUUUGGUGUUUCAUGGGUGAGCAAGGAGCAAUGGUGAAGGUGCUUCAUCAAAGUCUCCAGAAGGGUUGUUAUGAUCAACCCCUACAAUGUAUCAUCUUUUGUUCGAAGUAUUGUAAUAAGGGGAGAAUGUUCAAGAAUAUUACAUUA